rnacentral:snRNA from 1 species
AGAUGUGAGGGUAAUUCGGCAGUGACAUCAUAACCCCAUUGAUCACCAGAUUGACGGGGCUGAUAUGGCUAGCUAGGCAGGUGUUCCCUUCCUUCGUGGCUGUUCUAAGUGUGACAUUCUCAAGCUGCACUCAAGAGGAUGGCCCUCUAUGAUAAUUGACUUUCUUCAGCCAAGGGUUGAACUGUAGCUGUAUUUUUAUGCCGCAGCCUCAAAAGAAGCUCUCAACUGGGCAUAAUUGGUACAGGCCUUAAUCCCAUCUGGAGAAGCAAAGGCAGGCAGAUUUCUGUAAGUUCAAGGACACACGGCCACUCU